GAGCAAACAUAUCCAGGAUCUAUUUUGAAAAUAAAAAGAAAUGAAGAUGAUACAUUCUUAUAUGCAUUUGUUGCUUUAGAAGCAUGUAUUAGGGGCUGGGAAUAUUGUAGGCCAAUUGUAGUUGUUGAUGGUGCUGCAUUAAAAUGUUCAUAUGGUGUACAAUGUUAACUGCAAGCACAUUGGAUCCGGGAGGUCAUAUACUUACGUUGGCGUAUGCGAUAGUAGAUUCUGAAAAUGAUGCUUCAUGGACAUGGUUCUUUGAGCAAUUUAGAGAAGCAUAUGGAGUUAGACAAAAUAUGUGUUUUAUGUUAGACAGAAAUGAAAGCAUAUGGAAAGGGACAACAAAUGUAUAUCCUGAAUCAGAACAUUAUGCAUGCAUAUGACAUUUAUCAGUCAAUGUUUUGAAGAAUUUCAACAGAAAUACUAAAGAUUUGAAGAUGUUGUUCUUUUCA